UCCGGCUUAUCACCGGCAGUUUCCUUAAAGUGCCCAGCCAAACCUGAUGGCAACUAAGGAUGAGGGUUGCGCUCGUUGCGGGACUUAACCCAACAUCUCACGACACGAGCUGACGACAGCCAUGCAGCACCUGUGUGGACGCCACCCGAAGUGAAAAACUUGAUCUCUCAAGUCUAUACGUCCCAUGUCAAGGGUUGGUAAGGUUCUGCGCGUUGCUUCGAAUUAAACCACAUACUCCACCGCUUGUGCGGGUCCCCGUCAAUUCCUUUGAGUUUUAAUCUUGCGACCGUACUCCCCAGGCGGAAUGUUUAUUGCGUUAGCUGCGAUACCGAAAAGUAACCUCCCCGACAUCUAACAUUCAUCGUUUACAGCGUGGACUAC
rnacentral:misc_RNA from 1 species